AAAAUAGUUUAUUCUUAGUACAUUCAAAAAUAUCCAUCAUUAGAUAAGUAAGUUCCAACAUUCAUAGAUAAGUACAGUUCCAUACUUUCAACAAUAUUCCAACACUUUGCACAUCAUUGUUUAUUAGAUAAUAUUUUGACACUUCCAUUGAUGUAUGAUGAACAUAACUUAAUAUAUGACAAACACUUACGUAACUUUGACAGACGAUUACAUAUCUUAACAAAACAAUAAU
rnacentral:lncRNA from 1 species